rnacentral:rRNA from 1 species
CCCUUAGAGUUUGAUCCUGGCUCAGAAUGAACGCUGGCGGCGUGCUUAACACAUGCAAGUCGCACGAGAACGCUUCAGCUUGCUGAAGCUAGUAAAGUGGCGCACGGGUGAGUAACGCGUGGUAAUCUACCUCCGAAUUAGGGAUAACAUUGCGAAAGCGAUGCUAAUACCGGAUAAAAUCCUUUAAGCCUCGGUUAAAGGGAUCAAAGGUGGCCUCUACAUGUAAGCUACUGUUUGGAGACGAGCCCGCGUACCAUUAGCUUGUUGGUAGGGUAAAAGCCUACCAAGGCGACGAUGGUUAGCUGGUCUGAGAGGAUGAUCAGCCACACUGGAACUGACACACGGUCCAGACUCCUACGGGAGGCAGCAGUGAGGAAUUUUGCGCAAUGGGGGAAACCCUGACGCAGCAACGCCGCGUGAGUGAUGAAGGCUUUCGGGUCGUAAAGCUCUGUCAAGUGGGAAGAAACCGCACCGUGCAAAUAGUACGGUGCGCUGACGGUACCACUGAAGGAAGCACCGGCUAACUCCGUGCCAGCAGCCGCGGUAAUACGGGGGGUGCAAGCGUUAUUCGGAUUCAUUGGGCGUAAAGAGCGCGUAGGCUGUCUUUUAUGUCAGGUGUGAAAGCCCGGGGCUUAACCCCGGAAGUGCAUUUGAAACUGAAAGACUUGAGUAUGGGAGAGGGAAGUGGAAUUCCUGGUGUAGCGGUGAAAUGCGUAGAUAUCAGGAGGAACACCGGUGGCGAAGGCGACUUCCUGGACCAAUACUGACGCUGAGGCGCGAAGGCGUGGGGAGCAAACAGGAUUAGAUACCCUGGUAGUCCACGCAGUAAACGUUGAACACUAGGUGUAGCGGGUAUUGACCCCUGCUGUGCCGCAGUUAACGCAUUAAGUGUUCCGCCUGGGGAGUACGGGCCGCAAGGUUAAAACUCAAAGGAAUUGACGGGGGCCC